CGGGUUCGGCCUUCACAACGGAUCGUCCGGCACGUACCUGCCGGUGAAGGGGAGUACA
rfam:Cellulomonas sp. 73-92 SCNpilot_cont_500_bf_scaffold_245, whole genome shotgun sequence.